UUCACUGUGUUAGCCAGGAUGGUCUCCAUCUCCUGACCUUGUGAUCCGCCCGCCUCUGCCUCCCAAAGUGCUGGGAUUACAGGCAUGAGCCACCGUGCCUGGCCUAGAAUGUCCUUUCUUUUUGAAACCGAGUAAUAUUCCAUUAUCACCUUUCAGAGGAGAAGAGUUUUAAAGAAUCCUCUCUGUUCGACAGGGUUUUAAGAGAGCAGUUAACUACUGUAGAUAAAGAAACACUUCAAGGGGCAGCUAAACCAGAUGCUCACUUUAGGACUAUGCCCUGCGGGCAGCUUCUGCACUUCCUGCAGAGGAACACCAUCAUCGCCGCCGUCUCAGGGGUGGCCAUCCUCAUGGCCACCGUGCUGUUGCUGCUUGGGUUGGCCUCAUACAUCAGGAAGAAACAGCCAUCAUCUCCUCCGGCAAACACGACAUAUAAUAUUUUUAUAAUGAAUGGAAAGACAUGGUGGCAAAAUUCUGAAGAAAAAAAUUUCACAAAAUGUGCAAAAAAACAGAAACAGUUGAAGAGCAGCUCCGGCGUCUAAGCCAGGUCGUGGGGCAGUCAAACCAGGACUUGAAACCACAAUGCGAGCACAUUCUUCAUCUGCACACCACAGGGAGGCAAUUCCAUUUCUGCCUGGGAGGUGUAUUCUACAAAAACGUCUGCUUCCCGUCCCAAUUUGAAUGGACCAAGAAAAACUGCUUUACUGUAGGACACUUGUGGCCAUAUGGCACUGGUGGCUGGUGUCGGCGAACCCGACAGACUAUGGACUUAUUUGAU
rnacentral:sRNA from 1 species